rnacentral:rRNA from 1 species
AGUCAAUAGAUACCCCGGUAGUCCACGCCGUAAACGAUGAAUACUAGGUGUAGGAGGUAUCGACUCCUUCUGUGCCGCAGUUAAACACAAUAAGUAUUCCGCCUGGGGAGUACGGUCGCAAGAUUAAAACUCAAAGGAAUUGACGGGGGCCCGCACAAGCAGCGGAGCAUGUGGUUUAAUUCGAAGCAACGCGAAGAACCUUACCUAGACUUGACAUCUUCUGCAUUAAUCGUAAUGGAUGAAAUCCCUUCGGGGACAGAAUGACAGGUGGUGCAUGGUUGUCGUCAGCUCGUGUCGUGAGAUGUUGGGUUAAGUCCCGCAACGAGCGCGACCCCUAUUAUUAGUUGCUAACAUUAAGUUGAGCACUCUAGUGAGACUGCCCGGGUUAACCGGAGGAAGGUGGGGAUGACGUCAAAUCAUCAUGCCCCUUAUGUCUAGGGCUACACACGUGCUACAAUGGUGGGAACAAAGAGAUGCAAUACCGCGAGGUGGAGCUAAACUCAAAACCCCAUCCCAGUUCGGAUUGUAGGCUGAAACUCGCC